UUGACAAAUUGUACUCCGGAAAUGGGGCAAAUAGUUUUGAACAACUUAAAAAGUGGAUUUUAUUUUAUAAGCAGCAUUGGAAAGUCUCCAGGCAUCAGUGGUCAUCCAGUGUAGCAUUAUAAGGCAUUCGGGUCAAUUCAAGGAGAGCGUGUUCUGUCUGUUAUCAAUGAAGCAUGACCAGAGGAACAUUGCCUGUAAGCUACAGGAAGGCAGUGCUGGCUCUGCUACUGAAAAUGGGGGAUCUGUGAGAAUGACUCACAGGCAGUGUCUAACAUGGCAGCAUUAUAUUGUGAUGUGGCAUCAUCUAAGGCCUCCUAACACAUACCUUUCACCUGCAUCUGGGGUGGUUUGAAGGAUUUCGCUGUUGAUGUCUGUCAAGUCCUCAUCAGACAUUUCUGCAUAGCAACAGGCCAUCUGAAUUCCAAAACAGUGUAUCAGCACAGGAGAUACUGCUCAGUUUUGCAUCUCAAAUUGACAGCAGCCAAAGAUGCAGGUUCAACAUCAAUAGGUCUUCAGUCCUAGAUGGUGCUAUUCGGGGCUUCAAGCGGUUGUCCUACAAUCCCAAAUACCAGAUGUGCAUCAAGUUUUCAGAUGACUUGGGAAUGGAUGAAGAGGCUGUGGACCUUGGUGGCCCAAGGAGGGAAUAUUUACGAUUGCUCAUGGAGGCCUUGGUGCUGUCACCAUUGUUUGAGGGAAGGGACAGCAAAUUGAAUUUGGCCCUGGACAGUUCUGUUAUAUGCAAUAUACUGUAUUUGUAAUAAUUUCUCAAGAUUUCCUAUUAUACCAGCCAUAGUUUUGCAUGUUUCAUUUAAUCUUCUGUUUUGUUUUCAUGUCUAUGUUUUCUCUAGCUUUAAGAGAAGAUCGGUAUUUUAUUGUUGGCUGGGCUAUUGCUGUAAUCCUAGUUCAUGGCAGUCCUCCACCAGGUUUCAUUUCACCAACAUUGUACUCUUGUCUAGUUGAUGGCAUGUCCUCAGUGAAACCUGUCUUGGAAGACAUUGCCGAUGCUGACCUCUAUGAGGAGGUUAAAAAGCCCCUGAUGUUUCGGGCUCAGCCCCUGAUGUUUUCAAAUCCUAGAAACGCCCCUGAUUAUAGUGAAGUGUGCCGGAAGCUGCCUCUUGCAGAACAGCAGAACGAUCUCCAUUCAGAGGCUGACCCCCUGAGGUCACCAAAAAGAGAAAAAAAAGUACUUCAACUUGGAUUGAUGGGUGAAGUGGAUGAGAAGGACAGGAAUUUUGAGGCAGGUGAUCGAAAAUGAGGCCAAAACAUCACCUUUUCAAAGUUGGGACUAUUUAACAGGAGAAAGCCGCUACUGCGCCCAUGCCACAAAAAGGCCUGCUUUCAGUUCACCAGACUACACCUAGUCAAGCCUCACAACUUCUGGAGCAGAGUCAUUUGGAGUGAGGAGACCAAAAUUGAACUUUAUAGUCACAACCAUAAUUGCUAUAUUCAGAGAGGAGCCAACAAGGCCUACAGUGAAAAGUACACCAUCCCCACUGUAAAGCAUGGUGGUGGGUCUCUUAUGUUUUGGGGCUUUGUUAGCUCCAGUGGCACAGGGAAGUUAGUCAAAAUUGAUUGCAAGAUGAAUGCAGCAUGUUAUUAGAAAUUUCUGGCAGACAUUUGCAUUGUACAGCACAAAAGCUACACAUGGGAUGCUCUUGGAUGUUCCAACAUGACAAUGAUCCAAAGCACAAGGCCAAGUUGACUCUCCAAUGGCUACAGCAAGAAAAGGUUCUGGAGUGGCCAUCACCAUCUCCUGACCUCAAUAUCAUUGAGACACAUAGGCAGGAACUGGAGUCAAUUUGCCAAGAAGAAUUGGAACUCAUGCACAUUUAUUACAAAAGACUGCAUAAAGGGGGCAAUAAACGAUAUCAAGGUAUGCAAACUUUUGAACUGGGAUCAUUUUCUUUAUCGUCAUGUUUUUGUUUGAUGAUUGUGCCAUUCUGUUUUACCUUAAAUAUGAAC